rnacentral:rRNA from 1 species
GAUGAACGCUGGCGGCGUGCCUAAUACAUGCAAGUCGAGCGAACGGACGAGAAGCUUGCUUCUCUGAUGUUAGCGGCGGACGGGUGAGUAACACGUGGAUAACCUACCUAUAAGACUGGGAUAACUUCGGGAAACCGGAGCUAAUACCGGAUGAUAUUUUGAACCGCAUGGUUCAAUAGUGAAAGACGGUUUUGCUGUCACUUAUAGAUGGAUCCGCGCUGCAUUAGCUAGUUGGUAAGGUAACGGCUUACCAAGGCAACGAUGCGUAGCCGACCUGAGAGGGUGAUCGGCCACACUGGAACUGAGACACGGUCCAGACUCCUACGGGAGGCAGCAGUAGGGAAUCUUCCGCAAUGGGCGAAAGCCUGACGGAGCAACGCCGCGUGAGUGAUGAAGGUCUUCGGAUCGUAAAACUCUGUUAUUAGGGAAGAACAAAUGUGUAAGUAACUAUGCACGUCUUGACGGUACCUAAUCAGAAAGCCACGGCUAACUACGUG